CGGACGGGUGAGUAAUGUCUGGGAAACUGCCCGAUGGAGGGGGAUAACUACUGGAAACGAUAGCUAAUACCGCAUAACGUCGCAAGACCAAAGAGGGGGACCUUCGGGCCUCUUGCCAUCGGAUGUGCCCAGAUGGGAUUAGCUAGUAGGUGGGGUAACGGCUCACCUAGGCGACGAUCCCUAGCUGGUCUGAGAGGAUGACCAGCCACACUGGAACUGAGACACGGUCCAG
rnacentral:rRNA from 1 species